rnacentral:rRNA from 1 species
AGAGUUUGAUCAUGGCUCAGGACGAACGCUGGCGGCGCGCCUAACACAUGCAAGUCGAACGAGCGAGAGAAAGUUUGCUUUCUCGAGCGAGUGGCGAACGGGUGAGUAACGCGUGAGGAACCUGCCUCAAAGAGGGGGACAACAGUUGGAAGCGACUGCUAAUACCGCAUAAGCCCACGACCCGGCAUCGGGUUGAGGGAAAAGGAGCAAUCCGCUUUGAGAUGGCCUCGCGUCCGAUUAGCUAGUUGGUGAGGUAACGGCCCACCAAGGCAACGAUCGGUAGCCGGACUGAGAGGUUGAACGGCCACAUUGGGACUGAGACACGGCCCAG